ACGUCUGCAGGGCAGCCCUGUCUUGCCCCUCCAGGGUGCAGCUGACCUCCAGCCUCUGCUCGAAAUGCACUGGGGGUGCAGGUCCUCCCUCAAGGGGCUUCUCUGUCAGGCGGGCUGGGGGGUGACCCCUGGCCUUGCGGGAUCAGGGAGAUCUGAAUGUCAAGUGCCUGCCCCAGGGUUUCACAAUAAAAGGGGUCCUCUCUCGCUCAGCUUGUGUCUUGGGCUCCAGGGCCUGCUGCCCGCUGUCCCCACGGCCUGGAGGGAUGGCCCCAUUCUUCCAGUCCUUGGACAGACAAGCAGCGGUCUCAGCAUCUUCCCUGCUCGCUGAGAGUGAGGGAUGCUGUCUGUCCUGCCGGGGUUUACUGCACGGGCUCUGGUCCAGAUCCAGACCUGCCCCCUCACCCAGUGGUCAGGGAAGACGUGGGGGGCAGCGGGGGUCUCUGAGAGCAAAGGCCUGCCCCUCCCAGGGCCAGGGAGAUGGCGGGCUGCUUCAGCCCACAGGCACACCCCCAGGGGGAAUCAGGCAGGGUAUCCGCAGGACAGGGACAGCCUAUGUCUCUGCCUAGGCCUUGGGGUGCAGACCACUGGGGAGGUGGGCCUCCAGAGGCCUGGGUGGUGCGGGUACUGGGCUUCUGGUCCUGGAAAACCCCUGGAGACCAGGCUGGGAAAAGUCUGUUGCGUCCGGAACUGCCUCAAGCCUCUCCUGGGAACGCUGCUGGCUGCUAAGAGCCCUUCCCUCUGCUGGGGGUGCUCCUGCUGUUUGCCUGUGGCCUUGAGCUCUGUCCCCUCCCACACAAGCCACCCCUGCCCAGUCUGAGGGCUGGUGAUCUGGGCGCCCAGACCCCGACUGAUCGUGGUGGUCUGGCACCUCCUGGCUCAUCAGAACCACGAGAAUGAGCCUCCGUGUCCACCAGGAAACUCACCCCUUGGCUCCUGACCAACGCCCACCUCUCAGCCCCUCGCAGAGAGGGUCCUUCUUUCUCUCAGACUCCUCUACCCUUGACCCUUCCCGGGUGGCACCCAUUCACCAGCCCAGCCGGGCCUUUACUGCCUCUGGGUCACAUCUGGUCACACUCAGGCUUGUCCUCUCCCAGAGUCCUCACCCGGCUUCUCUCCACCACCUGCUGCUCCAGUGCCGUCUCCAGGCCUUCUGUCCAGUUACCUCCCGCCCCGAUCUGUACCAGUGGGUCCUUCUCCCAGGGGAGCCCCUGACCCACAGCGCGGAGCGCUGCAACCUGCAGGGCUGUUCCAAGAGCUUCCUAAACCCAGUUCCUAGGAGGAGCUAGGCUCGGUGAGGCCGAGUGGCACACCCGCGUGAGCUC
rnacentral:lncRNA from 1 species